CGACCCUUCGUCUGGACACCAGGUGUUCCUGAUCAGGACUGAGGGUCGUCACGUGACUGAGCCACACCUGCAAUCAGUGGCUCAGCUGCAUUUAACUGCUCUCCUCUCCAGUUGAGAGGGGCUCGCUGACAGGAGCUGGUGUCUGUGGAGCUCCAGCCUCACGGGAGCUGUUGGGCCAGGUGGCUGGUGGCUGACUGAUUCCCCUGGCGGUGGUGGUCCCUUCACUCCCUGUACAGUAGUGCACUUGGGUGUCCGUCAAUGGUUUUGUUUUGUUCACGUGUGGUGUGGUACAUCAGGACCCUUCCCUUCCCCUCUUCAGUUAGUCAUCUCUGCCUGGUGCAGUAUGACUCUGACACCUACUCUGAUAGAAAGAUGUGGCCCAUCAGCAGUAAUUGGAGGAGCUGUGGUGGUUGGGUUUCUCGAGGAGGCGGCGGCGGCGGCGUGAUCGAUCCCGU
ensembl:lncRNA